AGUGAACGUUGGCGGCGUGCCUAACACAUGCAAGUCGAACGAGAACCGAGUAGCUUGCUACUCGGGGAAAGUGGCGAACGGGUGAGUAACACGUGAGCAAUCUACCCUCGAGUGAGGAAUAACCCCGCGAAAGCGGGGCUAAUACCGCAUGAUGCUCUGGAGCAUAAGCUUUCAGGGUUAAAGCCCCUCGGGGCGCUUGAGGAUGAGCUUGCGUCCUAUUAGCUAGUUGGUAGGGUAACGGCCUACCAAGGUUAUGAUGGGUAGCCGGCCUGAGAGGGUGUCCGGCCACACUGGAACUGGGACACGGUCCAGACUCCUACGGGAGGCAGCAGUGGGGAAUUUUGCGCAAUGGGCGAAAGCCUGACGCAGCGACGCCGCGUGGAGGAUGAAGGCUUUCGGGUUGUAAACUCCCGUCAGAGGUGAAGAAAACCCCCCUCGGGGGGCUUGACGGUAACCUCAGAGGAAGCCCCGGCUAACUACGUGCCAGCAGCCGCGGUAAUACGUAGGGGGCAAACGUUGCUCGGAAUUACUGGGCGUAAAGGGUGUGUAGGCGGCUGAGCAAGUCAAGGAUGAAAUCCCGGGGCUCAACUCCGGAAUGGUCCUUGAAACUGUUCAGCUUGAGGAUAGCUGAGGAGAGCGGAAUUCCCGGUGGAGCGGUGAAAUGCGUAGAUAUCGGGAGGAACACCAGAGGCGAAGGCGGUUCUCUGAGCUAUUCCUGACGCUGAGACACGAAAGCUAGGGGAGCAAACGGGAUUAGAUACCCCGGUAGUCCUAGCCGUAAACGAUGGGCACUAGAUGUUUCUGCUUUAAGCGGGAGUGUCGA
rnacentral:rRNA from 1 species